CUUUUGCAGCAUGUAUUUGAAGGUUGUAAAACAUUAUCUCUGUUAAAUGUAUACAAUAUGAUGGUUUAUAUUUUUAAUCUUCUCUCCCCUAGCCUUUUCUUUUGAAGAAGUUCAAACUAUAGGAAAGUUGGAAGAACGAAACAAUGAAUACAUAUUCUCAAAUAAAGGCAAACUGUCUUUAUCUCCCCCAUAUAUAUGCCUUUUCUGAGCCAUUUGAAAGUCAGUUGCAGCAAGACUUCUCUGAGGAAAAACAUACAUAAGGAAUACCUGGAAAAAUGAUUAUUGUUAAAAAUUUUUUUAAAUUAUAAAAGCAAUAUAGUAUCAUGGUAAUAAGAGAAUUCAAGUAGUAUAUGAAGGUACAAAGUAAAAGUAACCCUCUAGGAAGAGCUCAACCAAAGAAGUUGCAUGCAUAUAUGCAUAACCCAUGGACACAGAUAACAGUGUGGUGAAGGCCUGGGUUGGAGGGUGGGAUGGAGGCAGGCUAGAAGAGGUCAAUGGGGGAAAAGAAGGGGACAUUGUAAUACUUACAUCAUUAUAUAAUUUUUAAUUUUUUUGGAAAUGUACUUAACGAAAAUGUGGUUAUAUAAUAUUUCAGAACCUAUAAAAAAUUGAAGGAAUGUCUGGGCAUCUUGCAAAAGGAGUAAGCAUACAGAUCUUUCUCCUUCAUUGCAACAGCUGUGUAGUGUCUCUCUUUUACAGCUCACUUAGUAUAUAAUCAGUUUUAAUUGUGUACAGUCUUUAUUAUAAGCAUAUUGCAGUAAAAAUUAUUAUACAGAUAUCUAGACAUACACAUAUAAAUCUGUAGCAUAAAUUCCUCCAAGUGCAAUUGUUGGGUUGAGUGUUGAAAUAUUCAGUUAUUUAAAAAAAGUAAUAUACCAACAGUAUAUGAUACAUGCUACUGUUUGUAAUGGCUGCGUAGACUUUCAUUGUGUGGAGGAUAUAUCAAUUUAUUUGUAAUAAAUUCUCAUAUUUUUAGUCAUU